UCUGUUAGUAGGUCCCAUACUCUGUUAGUAGGUCCCAUACUCUGUUAGUAGGUCCUGUGGUAGGAACCAUACUCUGGUAGUAGGACCCAUACUCUGAUAGUAGGUCCCAUACUCUGUUAGUAGGUCCCAUACUCUGGUAGUAGAUCUUGUAGUAGGUCCCAUACUCUGUCAGUAGGUCCUGUAGUAGGAACCAUACUCUGGUAGUAGGUCCCAUGCUCUGUUAGUAGGUCCCAUACUCUGUUAGUAGGUCAUGUAGUAGGAAGCAUACUCUGGUAGUAGGUCAUGUAGUAGGACCCAUACUCUGGUAGUAGGUCCCAUACUCUGUUAGUAGGUCGUGUAGUAGGUCCCAUACUCUGUUAGUAGGUCCUGUAGUAUGUCCCAUACUCUGGUAAUAAGUCAUGUAGUAGGUCCCAUGCUCUGUUAGUAGGUCCCAUACUCUGUUAGUAGGUCCUGUAGUAUGUCCCAUACUCUGGUAGUAGGUCCCAUACUCUGGUAGUAGGUCAUGUAGUAGUUACCAUACUCUGUUAGUAGGUUCCAUACUCUGAUAGUAGGUCAUGUAGUAGGUCCCAUACUCUGUUAGUAGGUAUUGUAGGUGGUCCCAUACUCUGGCAGUAAGUCCCAUUCUCUGGUAGUAGAUAUUGUACUAGGUCCCAUACUCUGUUAGUAGGUCCUGUAGUAGGAACCAUACUCUGGUAGUAGGUCCCAUGCUCUGUUAGUAGGUCCCAUAAUAUGUUAGUAGGUCCUGUAGUAGGAACCAUACUCUGGUAGUAGGGCCCAUACUCUGUUAGUAGGUCCCAUACUCUGGUAGUAGGUCAUGUAGUAGGAACCAUACUCUGGUAGUAGGUUGUGUAGUAGGCCCCAUACUCUGUUAGUAGGUCCUGUAGUAUGUCCCAUAAUCUGGUAAUAGGUCAUGUAGUAGGAUCCAUACUCUGUUAGUAAGUCCUGUAGUAUGUCCCAUACUCUGGUAGUAGGUCCCAUACUCUGGUAGUAGGUCAUGUAGUAGGUCCCAUACUCUGUUAGUAGGUCCCAUACUCUGUUAGUAGGACCCAUACUCUGUUAGUAGGUAUUGUAGGUGGCCCCAUACUCUGGCAGUAAGUCCCAUACCCUGGUAGUAGGUCAUGUAGUAGGUCCCAUACUCUGUUAGGUGGUCAUGUAGUAGGCCCCAUACUCUGGUAGUAGGUAAUGUAGUAGGUCCCAUACUCUGUUAGUAGGUCCCAUACUCUGUUAGUAGGUCACGUAGUAUGUCCCAUACUCUGGUAGUAGGUCCCAUACUCUGGUAGUAGGUCAUGUAGUAGGACCCAUACUCUGGUAGUAGGUCAUGUAGUAGGACCCAUACUCUGGUAGUAGGUCCCAUACUCUGGUAGUAUGUCAUGUAGUAGGAUCCAUACUCUCGUAGUAGGUCAUGUAGUAGGACCCAUACUCUGGUAGUAGGUCCCAUACUCUGUUAGUAGGUCCUGUAGUAGGUUCCAUACUCUGUUAGUAGGUCCUGUAGUAGGUCCCAUAUGCUGACAGUAGGUCCCAUACUCUUGUAGUUGGUCCUGUAGUAUGUCCCAUACUCUGGUAGUAGGUCCCAUACUCUGUUAGUAGGUCGUGUAGUAGGUCCCAUACUCUGUUAGUAGGUCCCAUACUCUGUUAGUAGGUCCUGUAGUAUGUCCCAUACUCUGGUAGUAGGUCCCCAUACUCUGGUAGUAGGUCAUGUAGUAGUUACCAUACUCUGUUAGUAGGUUCCAUACUCUGAUAGUAGGUCAUGUAGUAGGUCCCAUACUCUGUUAGUAGGUAUUGUAGGUGGUCCCAUGCUCUGUUAGUAGAUCAUGUAGUACGUCCCAUACUCUGUUAAUAGGUCAUGUUGUAGGUCCCAUACUCUGUCAAUAGGUCCCAUACUCUGAUAGUAUGUCCCAUUGUCUCACACAACACUCUCCUAUCUACCCUGGAACAUGCAUAGAACACAGUGUAUGAUGAAUUGAUGACAUUGCACUAUAUUUAGAUCUGAUCAGAGUGCAUCCAUUAUGGGCUAUAAAAGAGACCUUGAGUCAUCAGCUUGAUUGUUUGAGUGUAUUGACUAUUUGUAAUUCAUGCACAGCUCUGUGCUGGCCAGGCAGUGCCAUCCUGUUGAGACAGACAAUAAGUAGGUGAUUUAUAACAGUCUAAAUGGGACAUAGAGAGGCCAGUGGGGCAUUAGACGAGCCCUGCCAUGAGUCCCACAUGACAUUUAGGCUGGUCUCUUCCACAUUUGUCCCUAUCCCUUCCAUCUCUAUCUCUUAGUUUAUCAGACAUCCAUCGAUUGGUUGGUUUUUGAAGAUGGCUAAUUUUAGAGCGGGCUAAGAAUAGACUGAUGAGCAGAAUAGACCAAUGAGGAGUGAUGUAGGAUUAUGAACUCUGAGCUCUGAGAGACAAUAGUGCUGGUCUAGUAGUAAGCCACCUGCUGUGAUCCAGACUAGGUGGUGAGGGAGUAAAAACAGUUGACACUUUAUUCAUUGUGAUCUGAUGUGCUUCACUUAAUAGGGACAGACUGCAUCCUGGAUAAUUGCAUUGUUGUUAUCAUAGUAGUUAUAGAAGAACAACAUAGUAUAAGGGACAAAGUAUUGCCAUGUAAUAAUAAUAUCAUUUUUUAGCAUAUCCCAACUCUCCCUGAGACACCCUCGGCGAGUGGGGUCACAGCCUUAGUCUGCCAUUAUCAAUGGCAACCCUGGGAGGGUUAAGUGCCUUGCUCAAGGGCACAUAAACAGAUGUUUCACCUUGUCGACUCUGGGAUUCAAACUGAUGACCUUUCAGUUACUAGGCCCGUCGCUAACCACUAGGCUACCUGCCGCCAGGUGUAUCUCUCGAAGAGUUUCCUUCUAGUUUUAUAUCUUGAAGAUUGGACAUCAAAUAUAAUGGAAUCAAACCAAACACAAUGAUGAUGAUGGUUAUGAUAAUUAUGAUUUCCAAAGCAAUGACAACAUACAUUAGUUUAGAACAGAAACAUGUCCCUGAUGGCGGUAUGUACAGCAUUACCCUUCUCCCACUUCCAGUCCCAGUCCAGCUCCAGUGUUCCUAUCUGCUCCGGUCCAGGGUUUGGCAGCAGCCUGCCAUCUGUGCAGCAGAGUAGUCUCUCGUGCACUGGUGUCUGAUGUCGCACUAGGCAUGAGAAGAAUGUCAUUGACGUCAGUGCAGUCCCUGUCAGAGAGAGUGGCACCCCACCCACUGAUACCAAAUCAGAAAGGGAGAGAGAUAAUGAGAGAGGGAUAUCGAGAGAGGAAGAGAGAUAACGAGAGAGGGAGAGGAAGAAUGAUACACAGAGGGAGAGGGGGGGAAGGAAAAGGAUGAGGAGGAGGAGGAGGAGGAGAGGCAGAGAAAUGUAAAAGAGAGGGUGAGGGAGGGGGCAAAGAGGAAAAAGUAAUGCAAUGCCGAUGUUUGUGAGGGUUGUGAGUUAUGUUGGGAAUAUUACUGUACAUGUGGCACACACAUACGCACACACACUCCAUUGCCCUCCACACUGCCCUUUCCCACCUUGACAAAAGGAAUACCUACAUGAAAAUGCUGAUCAUUGACUACAGCUCAGCGUGCAACACCAUAGUGCCCUAUGGUGAGGGUUAAGUGCCGGGCCUACUCCAGGUGGUGAGGGUAAGCAACAACACAUGCGCCACACUGACCCUCAACACAGGGCCCCUCAGGCCCUGUUCACCCACAAAGUCUGCCGACGACACAACGGUGGUAGGCCUGGUGGUGGUAGGUCUGAUCACCGACGGCAAUGAGACAGCCUGAAGGGGGAGGUCAGAGACUUAGCAGUGUGUUGCCAGGACAACAACCUCUCUCUCAGUAUCAGUAA